UACGUAGGGUGCAAGCGUUGUCCGGAAUUAUUGGGCGUAAAGCGUGCGCAGGCGGUGAUGUAAGACCGAUGUGAAAUCCCCGGGCUUAACCUGGGAACUGCAUUGGUGACUGCAUCGCUCGAGUAUGGCAGGAGGGGGGUAGAAUUCCACGUGUAGCAGUGAAAUGCGUAGAGAUGGUGGAGGAAUACCGAUGGCGAAAGGCCAGCCCCCUGGGUCCAAUACUGACGCUCAUGCACGAAAGCGUAGGGGAGCAAACAGG
rnacentral:rRNA from 1 species